AAACUAGGUAUAGGGAAUUGCAAUGUGUAUCAAACAAACCGAGCCUUUGUCCUUCUUCGUCCAAGUUUAACUUUGAUCUCCAGCACGAUAAGUACUGGACUGCAGACCAAACUGUACACAGGACUCAUACAGGUGGUCGAGGCGAGCUCGGGAAGCAGAGACAGUGGAUCAGAGAAGUUGUGAACAGCCUUCCGGAUGGCCUUCUGUCAAAAUCGACUGACAUCCGCCAUGGCUGCAUAUCUGGGCAUAUUUAUUUUAGGUGAGUGGAAGUUUCAGUUUUAUCCUGCUCUCUGUUAACACUGUAUUACAGUAGGUCUCUGAGGUGAUGUAUAAUCUAUCUUGGUGGCAGAUGAACAACACAUCGCAGACAAUAUAGAUGUAGGAUCUUAAUUAGAGCCAGUUUGCUACAGCAGGAAAAUAAUCCUGCAGCAACAGGAAAUGUAAAUGAUUAUGUGGAUUAUGAGCAUUAUGGACAUUUUUGUAAGGGUUGGUACGUUUGUCGUAAUUUCAAAGUGGAAAUUGCCAACUUCAGAAGCCUUCGUAGCCCUUUCCUGCAGUCAAAUGACCUAGUGGCUUCAUGGGUGGAAUGUUAUUAAUAUUUAUCAUAAUUUCAUAAUUAUUAAACAAUCUUUUUCAAAUCUGGUGUUUCUAUGUCAGCACGGGUUUCUUAUUUCAGUCUUCUGUGAUCUAUAUAAAGUGUAAUAUUGGGAUGCAAACUCAAAAUGUAAUACAUUACAACUCUAUAUCUGACAUGGUACAGGUGUCUUAUACGCAUAACCAUGUGUGUGAGGUGUAUACUUUUGUUUCAAAG
rnacentral:lncRNA from 1 species